GCUACGCCGAAGGCGGGGGCGGGGGCGGGAGGGGGAGUCCUGGAAGGGGGUCGGGCGGGAGGGGAGGAGACGGCAGAGCAGCCAAUCCGCGCGCGGCCCAUCAGCUGACCGCCUUUGCUUACACCAGGUGCACGCCGGCUGCGGGGAGCACAAAGCGGGGCGCACCGAGGGCGCCGGCAGCGAGCGGGGGAGCGAGGCGAGGCCCGUGCGCCCGCGGCUGCAAGCGCCUGUCGGGCGGGGAGAGGGGCCGGCGGCGUCAGCCCGGGCGAUUGCCACCGCGCAGCGGCAUCCCUACUCGCCUGGGGCGCCUUCCUCCGGACCUGGCCGCUCGCUGCCCCGCCCUCUGCACCCCACUUCUCUAACCCUCUUUUCCAAUCCUGCCUGCCCCUGCCCUGGCCUCGAAGAGCUGACUGAGCCCAGCCCCGUGCAGCAGCUGUUGCUUGUGUUGCCGCCUCGCCUCCUGUCUUGGUGCUCUGCCGGGGGUCCCCCGAGGAGCCAGUGCGCGCUGCGGGCUGGGAAGGAGGCGCCUCUCGGCCCGUCCUCCUCCUCCUUCUCCUCCUCCUCCUCGUCGUUCUCCUCCUCCUCCUGCUGCUGCUGCUGCUGCUGCUGCCGCCGCCACGGGUGCCGGGUCCGUGCGCACCCCGACACCCCCACCAGGUGGGCCUCGGGGCACAUCUCCAGACUUGGAUUUGGCUGAAGUGACUCAUGCCACGGCCCUGUACACAUGCCUGGAAUGGAGAGACAUAGUUAAAAGACUCCACAUUGAUUUCUGCCUUUGAAAACUCCCCAAAACCAUCCGUUUGGACUGGAAUUCUACACAGCUCAACCAAGACUUUGCUUGAAUGUUUACAUUUUCUGCUCGCUGCCCUACAUAUCACAAAAUAGUGUUCACAUUUUAUUAAAACUUAGGGGUGUCAGGAGUUG
rnacentral:lncRNA from 13 species